AAGAAGGAAAUCAACAUUUGAAACUUCAUAUGGAAACUUUAUUGGGGCUGCGCAUGUGGAAGAUCACAAUGAGCAGAAGCAUGUGACUUGGUGUGCUCACCUGGGGUGACACUGUGCUGUGACUCCCCCUGAGAAUUGCUCCUGAGAUGGAACUUCACCACCUCCUCAAAGUAACAUCUGUCCUGCCUUCUGACACCAUAGAUUUGUAUUGCUCUUUUUGAACUUCAUAUAAAUGGAAUCAUACAAAUAACUGCGAUUGAGGGAUAAAUGCUCCAUGUCCCCUCUGCCAGUUGGUGUUUAUCAAAGGACAGUGGAGGAAGAGGGACAAAGUGCCUGGAUAUAUGUAUGAAUCAAGAGUUGUCAGGGGCCUGCCUCCAAAAGGAAUUGCCAAAAUGAUGUUUUGGACAAGAUGUUUCUCGAAGCCAAAGUACUAUAAGGGUUGUCACACAAGGCCCAAGCAAGCUAAGUCUGACUGGUUGCCUGUUUUUGUAAAUAGAGGUGUGUUGGAGCACACACCCUCCUUUGUUUAUGUACUGUCUAUGGCUGCUUUUGCACAACAACAUCAAGUAGUUGUUACAGAAACCAUAUGGCCUACAAAGCCUAAAUACCUACUCACAGGUAUUUACUAAAUACCUACUCCAUGCUGAGAAAUACAUUUGUAGUAUUUUUAUAGUAGUACUCAUUUGAAGAAAUGCUCAAGACCUUUGGUGAUGUGCUAAUUUUACAAAUGUUCGGAACAGGUGUGUGAAUGGCAGGAAGCAAGAAAGAUUUAGGGCAGGAAGUCACGGUUAGAGAAGAGGCCCUGCUGUUAUCCAGCAGCACUGAUCAUGGCCAGGAUCUUCCUCUGCCUGCCUCCUGGAAAAGCAGGUGUGGACAUGGCUGGAACUUGUGGCUUGGAGUGCACCUUUAUUAACUAUGUCAAGACACCGUGGUCAACAUUGUGGACUUCUACUUUUAGGCUGAAAGAUGGGCACCCUUUGUCACCAGUUGGUGGUUGGGAGGAUCUAGUGAGAGAAUGUGAGUCCAAGUGUCUUCUAAACAAUAAGGUACUAUAUUAGUGAUCUAGAUAUUACCUAUAAAAACACUAGAAUAGAUGUUAUUAUUCCUAUUUGGCAUGUGAAAAAAUAAGACGGAGAUAGCAUGCUCAAGAUCGUAUAGUAAGCCAGGAGAAGAGCUGGAAGCUGGGUCUCCUGGCUUUAGGUCACUGCUCUUUCCAGUAUGGCAUGAUGCUUCUUUACAUCAUGUGCUUUUCCAUGGUUUCAGCAGUGUUCAGUCCUAUUAUUCUUUUUUGUUCAUUCAUUCAUUCACCAUUCAGCAUUAGUUAAGAGCCUGCUAUGAGCUGGAAAGAGAACUGAAUUUUGUCCAGGGAAAGUGAUGACUGUAUAAAGAAGAGUUGGAAGAUUCUUCAAACCAUUUUGUUCUUGGACUCCUGUGGCUAGAGUCCUCCAGAAGCACAUAAGUUCUCCUGACAAUUUCUCCUGUGUUGCCCAAGGAGUUGGCUUUUAUUUGUGAUACAAAGAAAGAAAAGGUAGAUGAGAUGGGAGAGGAAGAGCAAUCCCAUCAUUCUACAAAAUGCUGCCUGGUACCUUGUUUUAUGUUGUCUCUCUGUGUGUACAUUACCAUGAAAGAAAAGAAAGAGAGAUACCGAAAUGUUGAUAGCAGGUUGUACUAGCAACUGAAGGAUGGAGACAGUCUUGGCUUGAGAGAUUUGAAAGUUAAGAUUUUGUGCAUAAAGUCCAAGGGAAUCCAUAUCAGAGAAAUUAUCAAAUAUAAAUUGUCCAACUAACUGACAUAUAUUAAACAUGGAUGUGCCAGGUGUGUACUCAUUUCACCAUGCUAUUGAAUACCACCUUCAUUCAGAUUAUAUUCAUUUGAUGACGUGUCUUGUAAUUUUUGAGAUGAUGAUGACUAAAUGCAGCUAGAGGAAGCAGUUACAUCAAAAUAGUCAAUUUGCCUUGUCCGGGUAACAGAAGUGAAGUUCUUGAAAGUUCUUGUUUUUGAUAUUUGCCCUUUUAACAGGAAAUAUCUUCCUCAUGUUCUAUGUUACUGGCUACUUGUUCUCUUCAGAUUUAUCUGUGGACCUAAAAGUCAAAUGAUUCUCUGAAACAAGGUGCCAAUGAUGUUGCCAGAUGAAAAAAACCAACCUUCCGUUAUAUAGUCGUCACCUGCAAAGACCUCUGGGAGCUAUAGUAGAAAGUUUUGCCCGAUUUCCCCUGCGAUCCCCACGUACAAGGCAGAGAGAGCUCUGCCGACUGAAUUUGGAGGUGAAUCUGAUUCUGCUACCCAGCCACGAAACUAUGAUACUUCUCAGAUAUCCCCAGGACCCAGGACACUGCUAUUUUAAGAAAUGCAAUUUGCUUCAGUACACAAAAAGCAUAUUCAUAGCAGGAUUUAGUGCUGCUCCAAAUAACACUUUUCAUCUGUAAGGAAUUUGUAAGCUUUAACUAAUUUAUUUAACUUUCUUGUGACAGGGUGAAUUAUCUUCUAUUUGUUGUGGAAUACACUUCUUUUAAAAAUUCUAUUCAUUUAGCAGGUAUUCUACCAAAAACAUUGUCACCGUGCUGGGAAUGUUUUGUAGAGGGGAAAUAAAUCUUUCAAUACAGUGUAAAAUUCUUAAGGCAAUAGAUGACCUUGGUUCCCUUGGUGUGUAAGCCUAUGUUUUAGUGAUUAUGCAGUACUCUGGAAGGAAGUUAAAUAUCUGUGAAAACUGUAGGGACUGGUAUGUUUUACCACUACUGCUACCACUGUUGUCAUGACGCACACUGUUCUUAAUGGUUCCUUUGGGUUUCCAGAAGGUACAGUUUGAGGAGAAUCUCAUGUGCUGCCUCCUUAGUGGAGAGUUCAAUCCCAGGUGGUAGGGGUUUGGGAGAAGAGUAGUGGGGCCGAAGUGAAAGGAGGGAACAGAAGGGUGGUUGCCGACAUGGCCACAGCCUGGCAUGAGGCAUAACUGAUCCCGCAGUCAUCAGGGACCGUGGUAGGCUAAAUACUGGCUCCCAAAGAAAUGCCCACAUCCCGAUGCCCGGAACCUGUGAAGACUUUGCAGAUGUGAUUAAGGAUCUUGAUAUGGGAGAUUACCCUGGAUAUUCUGGGUGGUUGCUAAAUCCCAUCACAAGGGUUCUUAUGGGAGGUUGGUGAAGGUGGAUUCAAUACACACGAGGAGACAGAGAGUGGAGUGAUGUGGUCACAAGCCGAGGAAUGUUGCAGCCACCAGAAGCUGAAAGAGGCAACGACAGGAUCCUCCCCUAGAGCUCUUGGAGGGAGCACAGCCCCUGCCGAUAUCUUGAUGUGAGCAUAAUAAUGAUACUGGUUUCAGAGUCUUGCCUCCAGAACUGUGAGGUAACACAGUUCUGUUGUUUUAAGCCACCACGUUUGUGGUAGUUAGUUACAGCAGCUAUAGGAAACUACCACAGGGAUCGUCCUCCCAGAGCAUAAAGUACUGAGUCUCAGGACUGAUUGGGUGGAGUGAGAGAGAAGGAGGGAAGAGAAUUUAUUUGCCAGUUUCAACCUCUGAUUGGUAAAUGGUUUUCCUCGUGGGACGUUAACACUCCUUUAUUUCCUCCCGUUGCCUCUAGGUUGAGCAUGGUUAGGCACUAAGUUUUGUUGGAAUGUCUCAUGCUUCAGGGGUGAUGGAGAGCCCUAGGGUGGGAAGAGAGAGGCCAGUUGAGGGACCCAUGGGGGGCUCUGUUGGGUUGUCCCUGUGAAGUCCAUUGCAGGGCCGACAAGUGGCCAAUGGCCCAAUGCAGUGUGGCCAGGUUGGCACCUGAGAGUUGGCAUGUGAAGGGACCUGACAUAAUAGCUUCCUUUGUCCUUUGGCAGGCGUGCUGUGACAUCCUCAGCAGGCACUCACGUCCAGCCUUGAAUACUGUUAGUGUGGGGAGCAUGUGCCCUUCGGGGCUGUGCAUCCGUCUUCGGAUGCGGGAACUGAAAUCUCUUCCUCCCCUUGAGUCAAAAUCUGUCUUCUUGUAGCUGUUUAUGAUUGGCUGCAGUUUUACUUCCUGAUGCAUGUAAAAUACAGCCCAUUUUUACACACAGAAGCUCUCUCCAAAUAUCUGAAGAUGGUUUUAAACACCCCCCCGCCACCUUUUUUUUUUUCUUCCCUACCAGGCAGAACACUCCCUGUUUCCUCCACCCGGCUUUGUGGAGUUUCCCCCUGUGGCUGGUGGCCGCCCCAGCCCCUCCUCUGCACACACUGCAGUGUACCUUCCUUCCGCCUUACAAGACAGCGCACAGAGUCACCAGAGCUUCAGGUGUGGUCUGCUCAAGCACACAGGACUCUCACUUCACUGAUGUAACCAGAGAGCUUCUCGAGGGAGUCAGUGGAGGGAUCCGGGUAUGCUUGACCGCCCCUGGAGAAUGGCCACAUCAGCUCAGCUGUGCUCUGCAUAAAUCCCCACGGUGGCAUCGGGACCCUCCGGGACAGGAGGAGAGAGGGGCAGCAGGGGACUCUGCUCAGCAUCAGGACAGAGGGUCCUUCUCUACUUGUGUUUGGAGGAUGUCCAUGGACUGAAGAAGGAAGCUCCCAAGGCUCACGCACUGCUUCUGAUAGUUUGUGAUGCGUCUAAAUCAUCACACAUCCGAGCUGUGGUCUGGUGACAUGAAACAGGUGUUCUCUCCUACUUUUAAAACAACUGAAGAAAAACCACCACACUCAAGAAGCCCAGGAAAAACCCUUUUCAUAAACGUCAUGCCCACUUUUCACUCUUGCCUCUUUCUGACAACUUUCUCAAUUGAUCACAUGUUACUGGGGUGGGAAGAAAAGGCAGGGACUGGCCCACCGCCCCCCGGCCCAGGUCUGCCAGCCUCUGUCUCCGAGGCUCAGGGACUGCUCUCUGACACCACUGGAGACGAUGAGUCAUCAGCACUGAAUAACAGAGAGAGGAAGAUUCUUCGUCUGGGCAAUGAUGACCCUGCUUUGGUCCUCGCUACCUGCCCAGCCUCUGCUCCUGCCACUCCUCAGGGGAUCCCAUGCUCCAGAGAAACCUUGGCACGUCGGAACCUGGCCACGUCACUCGCUUCUCCAUGGCUCCACGCCUGCCGUGCGCGUCCUAACUUUGUUCUUUGAGCAAACUGCUACAUACUCCCUCACAGGAACCAUCUGGCUUCUUCCUCAUUUCCUCCUUGUGUGUUUUUUUUUCUUACUUAUUUUUGCUUUGUUUUUUUUUGUUUUUGGAGGA